rnacentral:rRNA from 1 species
AACAAACGCUGGCGGCGUGCCUAAUACAUGCAAGUCGAACGGGGAAAGCUUUCGGGUGAGUACUAGUCGCGCACGGGUGAGGAACGCGUGGAUAAUCUGCCUUAGAGUGGGGGAUAACUAGUCGAAAGAUUAGCUAAUACCGCAUAAGACAACGAGUGCUGCGGCUUUUGGGGUCAUAGGUUUUUCGCUCUGAGAUGAGUCCGCGUAAGAUUAGCUAGUUGGUGAGGUAACGGCUCACCAAGGCGACGAUCUUUAACUGGUCUGAGAGGAUGAUCAGUCACACUGGAACUGAGACACGGUCGAGACGCCUACGGGAGACAGCAGGAGGAAAUAGUGCACAAUGGAGGAAACUCUGAUGCAGCGACGCCGCGUGAGAGAUGAGGGUCUUCGGGGCGAAAAGCUCUGUCGCAGGGGAAUAACACAAUGAAGGUACCCUGUAAGAAAGGACCGGCUAACUACGUG